GUGCAUAACACAUGCAAGUCGAACGCAGUAGCAAUACUGAGUGGCAAACGGGUGAGUAUAAUGUGGGUAUCUGCCCUUUGGCCUGGAAUAACACGAGGAAACUUGUGCUAAUACCGGAUAAGUCCUUACGGAGAAAGUUUUAAUGCCAAAAGAUGAGCCCGCAUUUGAUUAGUUUGUUGGUGAGGUAAUGGCCUACCAAGACUGUGAUCAAUAGCUGAUUUGAGAGGAUGAUCAGCCACAUUGGGACUGAGAUACGGCCCAGACUCC
rnacentral:rRNA from 1 species